rnacentral:rRNA from 1 species
AGAUGCUUUGGUGCCUUCGGGAACUCUGAGACAGGUGCUGCAUGGCUGUCGUCAGCUCGUGUUGUGAAAUGUUGGGUUAAGUCCCGCAACGAGCGCAACCCUUAUCCUUUGUUGCCAGCGAUUCGGUCGGGGAACUCAAAGGAGACUGCCGGUGAUAAACCGGAGGAAGGUGGGGAUGACGUCAAGUCAUCAUGGCCCUUACGGCCAGGGCUACACACGUGCUACAAUGGCGCAUACAAAGAGAAGCGACCUCGCGAGAGCAAGCGGACCUCAUAAAGUGCGUCGUAGUCCGGAUUGGAGUCUGCAACUCGACUCCAUGAAGUCGGAAUCGCUAGUAAUCGUAGAUCAGAAUGCUACGGUGAAUACGUUCCCGGGUCUG